rnacentral:rRNA from 1 species
UACGUAGGUCCCGAGCGUUGUCCGGAUUUAUUGGGCGUAAAGCGAGCGCAGGUGGUUUAUUAAGUCUGGUGUAAAAGGCAGUGGCUCAACCAUUGUAUGCAUUGGAAACUGGUAGACUUGAGUGCAGUAGAGGAGAGUGGAAUUCCAUGUGUAGCGGUGAAAUGCGUAGAUAUAUGGAGGAACACCGGUGGCGAAAGCGGCUCUCUGGACUGUCACUGACACUGAGGCUCGAAAGCGUGGGUAGCAAACAGG